rnacentral:rRNA from 1 species
UUUCUCAAUGGGGGAAACCCUGAAGGAGCGACGCCGCGUGGAGGAUGAAGGUCUUCGGGUUGUAAACUCCUGUAAUUUGGGAACAAUGCUUACGUAUUAACUGUACGUGAGUUGAUAGUACCAGAAGAAGAAGAAACGGCUAACUCUGUGCCAGCAGCCGCGGUAAUACAAAAGUCUCAAGCGUUGUUCGGAUUCAUUGGGCGUAAAGGGUGUGUAGGUGGCGCGCUAAGUCGGGUGUGAAAUUUCGGAGCUUAACUCCGAAACUGCAUUCGGAUACUGGCGUGCUUGAAGACUGGAGAGGAGCCUGGAAUUCAUGGUGUAGCAGUGAAAUGCGUAGAGAUCAUGAGGAAGACCAGUGGCGAAGGCGGGUCUCUGGACAGUUCCUGACACUGAGACACGAAGGCCAGGGGAGCAAACGGGAUUAGAUACCCCGGUAGUCCUGGCAGUAAACGGUGCACGUUUGGUGUGGGAGGAUUCGACCCCUUCUGCGCCGGACUAACGCGUUAAACGUGCCGCCUGGGGAGUACGGUCGCAAGAUUAAAAUUUAAAGAAAUUUACGGGGGCCCGCACAAGCGGUGGAGUAUGUGGCUUAAUUCGAUGCAACGCGAAGAACCUUACCUGGCCUUGACAUGCAUCUCUAAGCUGGUGAAAGCCAGUGACUCCCGAAAGGGAGWAUUUGCACAGGUGCUGCAUGGCUGUCGUCAGCUCGUGUCGUGAGAUGUUGGGUUAAGUCCCGCAACGAGUGCAACCCCUGUGAAUUGUUGCCACCAAGCCGUGAGGUUUGAGCACUCUGUUCAGACUGCCCUUUGAAACGGGGAGGAAGGUGGGGACGACGUCAAUUCAGUAUGGCCCUACGGCCAGGGCUGCACACGUACUACAAUGCCCAGUACAGAACGAUCCAAGACCGCGAGGUGGAGGAAAUCCAGUAAAACUGGGCUCAGUUCGGAUUGGAGUCUGCAACUCGACUCCAUGAAGCCGGAAUCGCU